rnacentral:rRNA from 1 species
UACAGAGGGUGCGAGCGUUAAUCGGAAUUACUGGGCGUAAAGCGUGCGUAGACGGUUAUUUAAGUCGGGUGUGAAAGCCCCGGGCUCAACCUGGGAAUGCCAUUCGAGACUGCAUAGCUAGGGUGCGGAAGAGGGAAGCGGAAGUUUCCGGUGUAGCGGUGAAAUGCGUAGAUAUCGGAAGGAACACCAGUCGGCGAAAGCGGACUUCCUGGUCCAGCACCGGACGUUCAGGCACGAA